GGGGCCGUAAAGGCUUCGACGGGGAUUUUGAAGCACGAUAAGCGAGUAGUGAGGGCGAAAUCACUUUAAUAGUCGCACCUUUAAAUUUAAACGCUGAUUACGAUCGCGAAUUAGUAGCUGCCUAAGCGCGCUGCCGUCAUACCUCGCAGUACCACGGGCGGGGAUAUGGCGUCGACUAGUGGUGAACGUCAUUGAUGAGUAGCCUUGCAGUCAGUGAUGUAUCAAAGGCUACCGAGCGGUUGAGCCUGUUUGCCGGCGCUUCCGUGAGGGAAUUCUAAAAGACAGACUGCACUCGGAGAAAGUUGUGUCGAUGGGUUUUCGGACAGGGGUUCAAUUCCCCUCGGCUCCACCA
rnacentral:tmRNA from 1 species